GCCAACAGCUAGCUCUCUGCAACUCUUACAUUGUCACCAAAGCUAAGCAGGGCUGCGCUUGGUCAGUACCUGUAUGGGAGACCACAUGGGAAAGCUAGGUUGCUGCAAGUG
rnacentral:rRNA from 1 species